UACGUAGGGUGCGAGCGUUAAUCGGAAUUACUGGGCGUAAAGCGUGCGCAGGCGGUUUUGUAAGUCUGGCGUGAAAUAUCUCGGCUUAACCGAGGCAGGUCGUCGGAUACUGCGGAACUGGAGGACGGUAGAGGCGUGUGGAAUUCCGGGUGUAGUGGUGAAAUGCGUAGAGAUCCGGAGGAACACCAGUGGCGAAGGCGACACGCUGGGCCGUACCUGACACUGAUGCGCGACAGCAUGGGGAGCAAACAGG
rnacentral:rRNA from 1 species